AUUGAACGCUGGCGGCAGGCCUAACACAUGCAAGUCGAACGAGUGGCGGACGGGUGAGUAAUGUCUGGGAAACUGCGUGAUGGAGGGGGUUAACUACUGGAAACGGUAGCUAAUACCGCAUUCCAUCGGUUGUGCCCAGGUGGGAUUAGGUAGUAGGUGGGGUAAAGGCUCACCUAGGGGACGAGCCCUUGCUGGUCUGAGAGGAUGACCAGCCAAACUGGAACGGAGGCACGGUCCCGAAUCCUGCGGGAGGCAGAAGUGGGGAAUAUUGGACAAUGGGAGCAAGCCUGAUGCAGCCAUGCCGCGUGUAUGAAGAAGGCCUUCGGGUUGUAAAGUACUUUCAGCGGGGAGGCGUUACCCGCAGAAGAAGCACCGGCUAACUCCGUGCCAGCAGCCGCGGUAAUUC
rnacentral:rRNA from 1 species